UGCUACCAUGCAGUCGACGCUGAAGCCCCAGCUUGCUGGGGUGGAUGAGUGGCGAACGGGUGAGUAACACGUGAGUAACCUGCCCCUGACUUCGGGAUAAGCCCGGGAAACUGGGUCUAAUACCGGAUACGACUGUCGGACGCAUGUCUGGUGGUGGAAAGUUUUUUCGGUUGGGGAUGGGCUCGCGGCCUAUCAGUUUGUUGGUGAGGUAAUGGCUCACCAAGACGACGACGGGUAGCCGGCCUGAGAGGGCGACCGGCCACACUGGGACUGAGACACGGCCCAGACUCCUACGGGAGGCAGCAGUGGGGAAUAUUGCACAAUGGGGGAAACCCUGAUGCAGCGACGCAGCGUGCGGGAUGACGGCCUUCGGGUUGUAAACCGCUUUCAGCAGGGAAGAAGCCUCACGGUGACGGUACCUGCAGAAGAAGUACCGGCUAACUACGUGCCAGCAGCCGCGGUAAUACGUAGGGUACGAGCGUUGUCCGGAAUUAUUGGGCGUAAAGAGCUCGUAGGUGGUUGGUCACGUCUGCUGUGGAAACGCAACGCUUAACGUUGCGCGUGCAGUGGGUACGGGCUGACUAGAGUGCAGUAGGGGAGUCUGGAAUUCCUGGUGUAGCGGUGAAAUGCGCAGAUAUCAGGAGGAACACCGGUGGCGAAGGCGGGACUCUGGGCUGUAACUGACACU
rnacentral:rRNA from 1 species